GCGAUCAUAGUGAAGUGGUUAUCACGGCAGUCUGUGGCACUGCAAUCACGGGUUCAAUUCCCGUUGAUCGCC
rnacentral:tRNA from 1 species